rnacentral:lncRNA from 1 species
CCCCCGCUCCCCGCCCCCCAAGCCUUAGUGAGAUUGACAGUCGCGUGGAGGAGGCUUUUCCAGGCACAGCCUUUCUCAUGGUAAUCAGCCCCCGGCAUCACCUCCCGGCCGCGGCUGCGCCCGCUCGGAGCGCGGCUCGCGGACCCCGGGGACCGGAAACAGGGCGGCGGGCGGGGAGCAGGCGAGCGAGCCAGAAAAGAAAAAGAAAAAAAUGUCAUUAGAAGAGGCGUAACACGUCAGUCCGUCCCCAGGUUUGUGUUUCCUGGAGUGGCCGAAAGAGAUCAGUUCUAACCUGCUCUGCAGGAAUAACGGUCCUGCCUCCCGACACUCUUGGCGAGGUUUUUGUACAGUUUGCUCCGGGAGCUGUUUCUUCGCUUCCACCUUUUUCUCCCCCACACUUCGCGGCUUCUUCAUGCUUUUUCUUCUCACCAUUUCUGGCCAAAACUACAAACAAGACUUCGCAGAUCGAGCCUGCGUGCUGCCGAAGCAGGGCGCCGAGUCCAUGCGAACUGCCAUCUGAUCCGCUCUUAUCA